GGCCCUCUCACCGAGGGAGCACUGCUGGACAUGUACUGUGCUCUGGCACAUUCCCUGUAGAUUCUUUCUGCUGCCAAACCACUGGAGCACUGAGCUCCAGAAGAACACACACAAGCACUCUCCUGCCCCGAAUUGUGGCACACAGUACCCUAAGCUAACCAUCCACCCAGAGAUCUGAUGCAAGGGACCUCUCUUCCCCACUUCAUCUUGAUCUGGAAGUGCCUGCGGGAACUUCUUGGCCAUCGGACUUUUUGCUAGCUAGAGCUCCAGGUUUCCCGCUAGCCCCUAAUUUCUGCAUAUUCAUGAGAACCCAGGCUUAUUGGUGACCAGUAUGCCCCUCUUAGGUGCAGAACUUUUGGGGUCACAGCACUAUCAGCCCAGAGGAACCAAGAGCUUGCUAGCUGGGGAAUCUGGAGUUCUCUUGGCCACUAGCUGUCUGCUGUCCUGAUGCCCAGGAGAACCUUUCUGCCAACAACUUGAUUACUGGGAUGUGGAACCUACAGCCCUUGGACGUCCUGUCCAUCUUGAUCCUUGGAUCUUUAAUGGCUCGUCCAGAAUGUGCUGUCUGGAAUGCUGAACCCAAGAACACUUACAGACUCAAAGUGGAUACCAGACUUCUUGGCAGCUACGAUUCCAGGAUACCUCUGGAGCCCAGUGAGAAUUUAUUCCGGGGAAUCGACGGUGCUUGGAUAACCAGCCUGCCCCACUGCAGUGAAAACAGAGUAUGUCUCCUUCAGGGCAAUAAUACUCACCAAGUGGAAGUGUGAACUUUAUCAGCCUUCAAUUAGCUCGCUUUCUUGAGAUUAAAUGAGUGCAUGCCACCACCGUUGGCUGUCUAGCUGAUCCCCCAUGAGUUUUUC
rnacentral:lncRNA from 1 species